GUCUAUGGCCAUGCCACCCUGAACAAGCCCGAUGUCUGAUCUCAAAAGCUCAGCAGGCUUGGGCCUGGUUAGUCCUGGUUAGUACUUGGAAGGGAGACCACCUAGGAAGACCAGGUGCUGUAGGCA
rnacentral:rRNA from 1 species